GGGUGGCAAGAUGGUGGCGCGCAGGAGGAAGCGCGCGGCGCGGGACCCGGAGGACCGUAUCCCCAGCCCACUGGGCUACGCAGCUAUUCCAAUCAAGUUCUCUGAAAAGCAACAGGCUUCUCACUACCUAUAUGUGAGAGCACACGGCGUUCGACAAGGCACCAAGUCCACCUGGCCUCAGAAGAGGACUCUUUUUGUCCUCAAUGUGCCCCCGUACUGCACAGAGGUCGGAGGCCAUGGUGCCCACAGUCUCCUGGCUUGGGCAGAUGUGGCUGUGGCUCUGAGUCCUUCAGCGGCGCUGGACCCCUGGCAGCGCCACCCAUGGUGCAGGGAGGCUUUGGGAUGGCCCUGCGGAUGCUCACACUUGGCUUCCCUCUCCCUGCGGCAGGAGAGCCUGUCCCGCCUCCUGUCCACCUGUGGCCUCGUCCAGUCUGUAGAGUUGCAGGAGAAGCCGGACCUGGCUGAGAGCCCAAAGGAGUCAAGGUCGAAGUUUUUUCAUCCCAAGCCAGUUCCGGGUUUCCAGGUAGCCUACGUGGUGUUCCAGAAGCCAAGUGGGGUGUCAGCGGCCUUGGCCCUGAAGGG
rnacentral:sRNA from 1 species